UCUGGUGGGUUUUUAGCCAUGAAAACACCUCGUCCAAGCUGCCAUUAACAAAUAACAACAAACAAGAAAAUUUCAGACCAAUGACCCCAAGGGUCAAAAAUUUCCUGGCGAUCUGAUCGACGGACGGCAGCUCCUUUCUUCUCAACUCUCGACGAUACUGCAAAACGAUUCCCCAAGUUGAAGCCCAUGACAGCCCAAGGCCAGGUUCCUCUCUAAUCCUCUGUUUCGUACACAACACAAGCCAAAAAUCAAGAUUAAGAGAAUCACUUUCCCUUUCGAUCUAGAAACUCGAACUCAUUCAAGACAGAAACUAGAGGUAUACUACAACUUUGGUUUUGAUUGAUCUUUGGAGUUUGAAGAACGCAAAGCAACUUUAUUGGAUUAGUUAGUGCUCUUGAGAGGUACUACCUUGAGAAAAGAAACCGACGGUCAGUAGCAAUAAGCUUCACUGAGUACAGAUGUCCAGAGCAACCAGAUGGCGACCAGUGUGGGUAAUAUAGCAUGAGAUUUAUUAAAUCAUUCAUGACUGAAAAUAAUCCUACACGAAAAUUAGAAACAGAGUUUAAAAGGAACAUAUCAUCCUCUUACACUAACAAAGAAAUCAACGAAAUACGUGACGAAUGGGCAAAGUAUGUCAUGCAGAUGAUAGCAGCAGGCAAAUGACUAAUAACAUAGAGUAUGAUGACCAAUGAUCGCUCAUGGACGAUCCCCAUGUGAUCUAAGAAAAUGAUUGAUAGGUUUGACAUCGAUCUUAGUUACUAUUGUCUUGCUUUUUUAGUUUUUAGGAAGUGAUCUCCAGCUAUAUGAUUAAAGUCCCAAGUGACUACGUGGAGACUUAUUUUGUUCUUAGUAUACAUAUUUUUAAAUGUUCAGAAGAUAUUCUACAAAAGAUUGCAAAAUGUAAAAACUUAAUUGGAUUUCCUUCUUUUGUAUUGCAUUACUAAACUUUGAUGGCAUAUUAUGAUUUUCAUGAAGCUUUAAUUCU